rnacentral:rRNA from 1 species
AGCUCCUAGGGGGGCAGCAGUAGGGAAUCUUCCACAAUGGACGCAAGUCUGAUGGAGCAACGCCGCGUGAGUGAAGAAGGUUUUCGGAUCGUAAAGCUCUGUUGUUGGUGAAGAAGGGUAUAGGUAGUAACUGGCCUAUACUUGACGGUAAUCAACCAGAAAGUCACGGCUAACUACGUGCCAGCAGCCGCGGUAAUACGUAGGUGGCAAGCGUUGUCCGGAUUUAUUGGGCGUAAAGCGAGCGCAGGCGGAGAAAUAAGUCUGAUGUGAAAGCCCACAGCUCAACCGUGGAACUGCAUCGGAAA